rnacentral:rRNA from 1 species
GCUCAGGAUGAACGCUAGCGGCAGGCUUAACACAUGCAAGUCGAGGGGUAACGACUCCGUCUUCGGAUGGAGGUCGACGACCGGCGCACGGGUGAGUAACGCGUAUGCAACCUACCUUUACAGGAGGUUAGCCCAGAGAAAUUUGGAUUAAUACUCCAUAGUACUAAUGAAUCACCUGGUUUAUUAGUUAAAACUCCGGUGGUAAAAGAUGGGCAUGCGUGUCAUUAGUUAGUUGGUAAGGUAACGGCUUACCAAGGCGAAGAUGACUAGGGGUUCUGAGAGGAAGAUCCCCCACACUGGUACUGAGACACGGACCAGACUCCUACGGGAGGCAGCAGUGAGGAAUAUUGGUCAAUGGGUGAGAGCCUGAACCAGCCAUGCCGCGUGAAGGAAGACUGCCCUAUGGGUUGUAAACUUCUUUUCUGCAGGAAGAAAUCACUCUACGUGUAGGGUGUUGCCGGUACUGCAGGAAUAAGCAUCGGCUAACUCCGUGCCAGCAGCCGCGGUAAUACGGAGGAUGCAAGCGUUAUCCGGAUUUAUUGGGUUUAAAGGGUGCGUAGGCGGGCUUGUAAGUCAGUGGUGAAAUGCUGUGGCUUAACCAUAGAAUUGCCAUUGAAACUGCAAGUCUUGAGUACAGUUGAGGUGGGCGGAAUGAGUAAUGUAGCGGUGAAAUGCAUAGAUAUUACUCAGAACUCCGAUUGCGUAGGCAGCUUGCUAACUGUAACUGACGCUGAUGCACGAAAGCGUGGGGAGCGAACAGGAUUAGAUACCCUGGUAGUCCACGCUGUAAACGAUGAGCACUGGUUGUUGGCAAUACACCGUCAGCGACUGAGCGAAAGUAUUAAGUGCUCCACCUGGGGAGUACGUCGGCAACGAUGAAACUCAAAGGAAUUGACGGGGGCCCGCACAAGCGGAGGAACAUGUGGUUUAAUUCGAUGAUACGCGAGGAACCUUACCUGGGCUUAAAUGUAGAGUGCAUUGCUUGGAAACAGGCAUUUUCUUCGGAACUCUUUACAAGGUGCUGCAUGGUUGUCGUCAGCUCGUGCCGUGAGGUGUCGGGUUAAGUCCCAUAACGAGCGCAACCCCUAUUGUUAGUUACCAGCACGUAAUGGUGGGGACUCUAGCAAGACUGCCGGUGUAAACCGUGAGGAAGGUGGGGAUGACGUCAAAUCAGCACGGCCCUUAUGUCCAGGGCUACACACGUGUUACAAUGGCAAGUACAAAGAGCAGCCACCUGGCGACAGGGCGCUAAUCUCAAAAGCUUGCCUCAGUUCGGAUCGAAGUCUGCAACUCGACUUCGUGAAGGUGGAUUCGCUAGUAAUCGCGCAUCAGCCAUGGCGCGGUGAUACGUUCCCGGGCCUUGUACACACCGCCCGUCAAGCCAUGGAAGCCGGGGGUACCUGAAGUC